rnacentral:misc_RNA from 1 species
GAUGAAGAACGUAGCGAAAUGCGAUAAGUAAUGUGAAUUGCAGAAUUCAGUGAAUCAUCGAAUCUUUGAACGCACAUUGCGCCCGCCAGAAUACUGGCGGGCAUGCCUGUUCGAGCGUCAUUUCAACCAUCAAGCCCCCGGCUUGUGUUGGGGACCUGCGGCUGCCGCAGGCCCUGAAAAGCAGUGGCGGGCUCGCUGUCACACCGAGCGUAGUAGCAUACAUCUCGCUCUGGGCGUGCUGCGGGUUCCGGCCGUUAAACCACCUUCAUAACCCAAGGUUGACCUCGGAUCAGGUAGGAAGACCCGCUGAACUUAAGCAUAUCAAUAAGCGGAAGA